rnacentral:lncRNA from 1 species
AUGUAAAUACUGUGGCUGGAAGGCAGGAUCAAAACCAUUCCCUGAACAGAAAUGUUAAUCCUUUUAUUGCCAAGGGGAAAGAACAGUUUAGCAUGUAGGGCAACUGCAAGCAUUUUUACAUUAAGCAGAAUCUUGUAUCUGUUUUGUGUGAUUGAGACUGUCUACAAGUAACAGGUAAAGGCCAAAGGUCUAUAGAAUUUCUAGAGAUCCCUGUUUAAAUAUCAGUCCUAUCAAAGAGGUUUGCAGAAAUCACUGUUCUGAUGAUGGUCACAACUAAAAUCAAAUGUAGUGUUUCAUCCACAUUAACUAUGUCAGGGGUUAAGUACUUGUUUCUCUAUUUGUCUCUCUCUCUAUAUAUGCAGAUUGUAUAGGUUAGUGUCUCAUUACUGCAAUGAAAUACCUGAGGCAAACUAACUUUAUUAUAAAAAAAAAAAAAGAGGCUUAUUUCGCUCACCAUGUUGAAGUGUAAGGGCACGGUGCUGGGUCAGUUCAGUUCUGGUGAUGACUGUCUUGUUGCCAGAGUUUCCAGUUUGAUGAUGGCACCACAUAGCAAGAGACAGGGUGUCUGGGUAUCUGGUCUUUCUCCCUCUUCUUAUAAGACCACCAGGAUUAAUCAUGGGCUUCACCCUAGUGAGCUUAUCUAAACCUAAUUGCUUUCCAAAUGCCCUAACUCUAAACACAAUAGUCCAAGUUUCGACCCUCUUAAUACUAUGAACACAUGGCUUCUGGAGUUAAAUCCUUGCACAAGAUGAGGGCCGGGGGAAAGCCAUAUUCAUGCCAUAACACAUCUGUAAGACUUCAG